UCAGAUUGAUGAACAAAUUUUCUAAGCUUUCGCCGGCGAUGUUACACACGCGCCACCUUUGGAAAAGCUGGUUUAAAAUUGAAGACCCCAACUAUUUGCAGAUUUGACUGACCAGGUGUACUCUGUUAUCCACUCACUUUUGAACACGUGUCUGAAACCCUCUUUAAACUCUCUUAACAAAGAUUGGACCAAAAACAACAAAAAUGGAAAAAAAAUUAAAAUAAAAUUUUAAAGUUGAAACAACAACCAUAAUCUCCGCUGUAUCAAACCCUCUAUAUCUCCUAUCGACCUCUAUCUCUUUAUAUACCGGCUGUGUGGCCGACAGAGGCGGAAAGUUAAAAUCACCAAACAGCAAGAUUUCUGAGAAUUCAUUAGGGUUCUGUCGAGUUUUUGUUAGGGUUUGUAGAGAUCUGUGAGAAUGGGAAGAUAACAGGAGUCUUUUUGAACAGAAAGUUUAUACGGGUUUAUUCAGUGAAGUGGUUAGAAGAUAGAGAAGGAGGUGGAUUGAGGAAUUGCAACAGAGAAAACUGACAGAAGAGAGUGAGCACAUGCAGGCACUUUUAUGUGUCCAUAACUUUGCUUGUGCGUGCUCACUUCUCUUUCUGUCAGAUGCCUGAGUUCUAGUUUACUCUCUCUCCCUCACUCCCUCCCUCUCUAAUUUCUUGACCUUAUCACUUACUCUUAUCAUCUCUUUUGUCGAGCACUUGGCUGGUGUUGUGGAUAAAGACUGAUGACCUUUAAUUCAUUUCGCUAUAUAUGUAGAUAUUAUAUGCUUUUUUCCUUUUUCUUUUCUUUCUUUUGUGUUGUUGUUGAAGUCGGUGGGCUUAAGAAUGUUUGGAGGAUAAAAUCUCAGAUUUAUAUAUUUGGAUUUAUGAUAAAUACAGAUUUUAAAUGUGUUAUGUUUAUAUAUGUAUAUAUGUUGUUUUCUUUCUAGUGAAUUUAGGAAAAGCGCGAGUUUUGAUGAUCAUGAUCCCCACCGGUACACAUUCUUCUCAGAGACUAAUUAACUAUUUACUGAUUGUCUCUUUGUCUUUUUUUCUUGGCUUCAGGUAAUCUGAGUUUUUCUUUUUUUGUUUGUUUGUUUAAGUUUCUGCAUGUUGAAAUUCUCUUAUGAUCUUAACAGCUAGGAACCUCAGAGUAUAAAGCUGUUUUCUUCCUCGCCUCUUCUUUCUUUUCAAACCAGAUUUGGUUUUCAGGCUUCACCAGAAGCCAUAAGUGAUGAUAUUUGUGAUUUAUAAUCCCUUCUCCAGUCCUAUUUGAUGUCGACACUGGCUAGUUAUGUGCCGUUUUUGUGAGUAUAUGAUUUUUUCUAAUGAGUAAGUUUGUAUUGAAGCACUGAAUCCAGCUGUUAAUUUGUUCUUAAACCGUCGUCCAUCAAAAAUUUCUUCUUUGGUGUUAGGUUUGUACGGAUUAAUGCUAGUUGGUGCAUUAAAGUCCCUAGACCUAAUGGUUUUUGUUAUAUCCCUUCCUGCAGGUUUCUUUCCAACUUUGUUAGGAAAGAGAUUUUUUUUUUUUUUUGCUAAAGGGAAAGAGAUUUAGUUCCUUGUUUUGCUUUCUUCCAAGUCGAAAUUGUUAAUUUCUGUUGAAAUGAUUCAUCUUAUAUGGUACUAAAGGAGCUUAAAAAUGUUAGUUUACUGUGAAAUCAUUUAUUCUCUGCUGCCACAGGUGGACAAAACAGUUAUUUUUUUUCACUGAGAUGAUUGGUAUUAUGAAAGUUUCGGAAUGUACAGUAUUUCAUCUUAUGUUUAAUCUUGUUGGUUUGAUCUUUUGUUAUGCUGGUCAAUCUUAGUGUUUGUCUUUCCAUGUGAUGCUUUUAUCAGGAUCCAGUUCUUUGUAGUUGGAGGCGUAGUUUUGCAGUGAUUUUGUUUAGUUCUGCGUUGAUUGUAAAUGCAUUACAAUGAUUUUAACUUAUACGCAUGAGUUUGUUUAUUUUUUCCCACUCCAGAAUAUUGACUCUAUAGGUCAUCUUGCUAAAUGCUAAUAUUGUGUCAGCUAUUCAAGCAAGAAGUCCUUGGGUUGUGUUUGAUGAAACCAAACUCUCUCUUGCCAGAGUAUCAUGUUUUCAUAACCAGGGAUUGAAUGUAGAGGCAGGUUCAACCAUAUCUCUGAUAUAAUGUGUGAUGCACCAUCUGAUAUGUUAGGCUGACUUUGUGGUCUUCCUUUUGUUGCAUCUCCAGUUAGCUAUAUAAUUAAGAUAUACUGAUUGUUUGAUAGGUAUACUGUGCUAAUUAAGGCAUUUAUUUGUAAGCUUUUAGGUAACUAUAAAGACUAUCAAUUGUGAGAAAAAGUGUUGUCGAUUGCCAUGUUUAAUCCUUUCUGUACAAGAGAAUGAGAUCAAAAUCAAGUGGGAAGAUAAUUCAAGUAUAUAUUUGCAAGGUUGGAAGUGUAGCAAUCAGAUGCAUCAGCCUUCCUUCAUCUCCUCUAUAUGCCUAUGCUAUAAAGUAUAGAGAACAGUUCAGACUUCUGGAGGUGUUAAUGGAUUUCUUUGCUUUUUCAAUCAAGAACUUGGUUCAUGUCGAUGAUAUCAAACAGAAGGUGCUUAUCGUACUCAAUUCAGGAUUGAGAAAAAGUGGCUUCUUCUUAUUGUAGUUUUUUCUUUGAUAUUAUUUUGGCCCUAGGCCCAUAAGCCUAAACCAAUUCAUGCUAUUGUGUGAACUACGUUUUGCAUAUCAAUCAUGUUGGAUAAAACAAGAGAUGUGUCUGGCUCUUGAGUCUUCGCAUAAAGAUGAUACUGCAAAUUCUAUUUCAUGGGAAUCCUUUUUCAAAA